UCCGAGUCCCGGGGAGGGGGGAAAGAAAGGAAAGAAAAGCUGUGAAAGGCCUCCCGCUUGGCCCAGGAAGCGGACUGCCAGCUGGCUUGCUCUCUCCUUCCCCCACGUCCCCCCCUCCCCAGAAAACGGCGCGGUCUCCGCCGCCAUGUUGAUACCAUGAGGCUUUCUUUUUGAGGCUUCGCUAGCUGGAAGCGGAAGUGGUUUUGCAAGACGGGGAGGGGGGGUGAGAAAGAAAUAGGGAAUAAAAUCACCCUACCGCCUCAACAGCAGAAGAUGAGGUUAUUCCAAGUCAUCUCCAUCCCCAUUAAAGUCAACAGAAGCCUCAUUAUUAUACUCAUCUCAUUAAUAUGAAUAAAGGGGUAGGUCAAUGGAGUUACAAAAUAUCACAGUUCAGAGGCAUAACAAUCCCACCUUUUCCUGGUGACGGACAAUAAGUGGGGCCACAACAACUUCAGAGCAAAUAUUUUUUAAAAUUCUCCAAUAAAUACGCCAAUCAUCUCACAGAAGACUCACAUAGGCUGAAGUUUGAUACAGAAGAAUGCACCACCACAUGAAACAAGAAAGUCAACAUUACUGGCAAUGCUCACAGCCAAAGAUUUAUUGAAGACUAGUUGGGAUCCCACACAUGACCUAAGUAGAUGCUGCUCUCUCUCAAUGAUCACUGUUAAAUGUUAACCCAAGUAUUAUUCUCUCACUUGUAAAGGGUGGGUUUGCCAUCAGUGGUUGAUGGCACUUGAGUUUAAAUACUCAAUUUAGUGUUUUUCUUCAAUGUUGUCCUUAAAUGAAUUGGUUUAAUAAUAAAGCAACUUUGCAAACUAAUACAUUACAGCACCAAAAGUUAAUUUCCAUUUAU